rnacentral:rRNA from 1 species
UUGGUUAAGCUAAUAAGAGCGCAGGGUGGAUGCCUUGGCACUAAGAGCCGAUGAAAGACGUGAUAAGCUGCGAAAAGCUUCGGGGAGGAGCAAAUAUCCUUUGAUCCGGAGAUAUCUGAAUGGGGAAACCUACUUGAGCAACCCUCAAGUGACGUAUGGUGAAUACAUAGCCAUACGCCGGGAACCCGGUGAACUGAAACAUCUAAGUAACCGGAGGAAGAGAAAGAAACAUCGAUUCCCAAAGUAGCGGCGAGCGAAAUGGGAAGAGCCCAAACCAGCGUGCGUGCAUGCUGGGGUUAUGGACCGCACACGUGAACCGAUUUGUUAAUGGAACUGUCUGGGAAGUCAGGCCAAAGAGAGUGAAAGCCUCGUACAUGAAAACAAUAGGAAGCAGCGGGAUCCAGAGUACCACGAGACACGAGAAACCUUGUGGGAAGUCGGGGGGACCACCCUCCAAGGCUAAAUACUCCUUAGUGACCGAUAGAGCAUAGUACUGUGAAGGAAAGGUGAAAAGGACCCCGGGAGGGGAGUGAAAGAGAACCUGAAACCCUGUGUUUACAAGCUGUGGGAGCACGUUAAGGUGCGACCGCGUACUUUUUGUAGAACGGUCCGGCGAGUUGCCGGUACUGGCAAGGUUAAGCACUUAAGGUGCGGAGCCGAAGGGAAACCGAGUCUCAAAUGGGCGUCAAGUCAGUACAGGCAGACCCGAAACCGGGUGACCUAUCCAUGUCCAGGUUGAAGCGGAAGUAAAAUUCCGUGGAGGACCGGAUCCACAUCCGUUGAAAAGGGUGGGAAUGAGGUGUGGAUAGGGGAGAAAUUCCAAUCGAACCCGGAGAUAGCUGGUUCUCCUCGAAAUAGCUUUAGGGCUAGCCUUGUAUUAGUUUAGCGGAGGUAGAGCACUGAAUUCCUAAGGGGGCGUCAAAGCUUACCAAGGGAUAUCAAACUCCGAAUGCCGUAUAAAUGAUGUACAGGAGUCAGACUGCACGAGAUAAGUUGGGUAGUCAAAAGGGAAAGAGCCCAGACCUACAGCUAAGGUCCCAAAGUAUGUGUUAAGUGGAAAAGGAUGUGGGAUUUCAAAGACAACUAGGAUGUUGGCUCAGAAGCAGCCACACAUUCAAAGAGUGCGUAAUAGCUCACUAGUCGAGAGGUCCUGCGCCGAAAAUGUCCGGGGCUGAAACACAACACCGAAGCUUAGGAAUGUCGUAAGACAUUGGUAGAGGAGCAUUCUUAAAGGGAUGAAGCGGUACCGACGAGGAGCUGUGGACUUUUAAGAAGAGAGAAUGCCGGAAUGAGUAGCGAGAUGGAGGUGGGAAUCCUCCAGGCCGAAUAUCCAAGGUUUCCAGAGUAAAGCUGAUCUGCUCUGGGUAAGUCGGGGCCUAAGGCGAGGCUGGGAGGCGUAGCCGAUGGACAACAGGUUGAGAUUCCUGUACCGUGUAUCAUCAGAACUGUGGGGACACAGAAGGACAGCACAUCCCGGGAAUGGGAAUACCGGGGCAAGCGGGGUAGGAGUACGGCUGGCAAAUCCGCCGUACAAUCCGAAUACGUGACGCGGAGCGAACUGAAGUAGUGAAGUGUGUGAUUCCAGCUGUCAAGAAAAGCCGCUAUCGUGUGAUACACGCCCGUACCGUAAACCGACACAGGUGGAUGAGGAGAGAAUCCUAAGGCCGGCGGGAGAAGCAUUGUUAAGGAACUCGGCAAAAUGACCCCGUAACUUCGGGAGAAGGGGUGCCCAUGAAAGUGGGCCGCAGAGAAUAGGCUCAAGCAACUGUUUAGCAAAAACACAGGUCUAUGCAAAACCGUAAGGUGAGGUAUAUGGGCUGACGCCUGCCCGGUGCUGGAAGGUUAAGAGGAGAGGUCAGCGGAAACGCGAAGCUUUGAAUUUAAGCCCCAGUAAACGGCGGCCGUAACUAUAACGGUCCUAAGGUAGCGAAAUUCCUUGUCGGGUAAGUUCCGACCCGCACGAAAGGCGUAA